GAAAAUAUAACGGCCGGUGGCGCCGAUCUCCGGGCUCCCAUUACCGACGCUCACAUGUUUAAGUGUGCUGGAGGCCAUUUGAAUGAGGUCACUGACUGUCAUCAUAAAACUUCUGUGGGAGGGAAUUCAAUGGAUCAGGCACCUGACCAAAAGAAAUAAUGAGAGCUAAACUCAGGAAAUUCUAAAAGGCCAAGAAUCCCCAGCCAAAUGAGUGGCGAUUCUGAUCCAACACCAGGUCAUGCUGGAACGGGAUUGGAGAGGCGGAUUGCCUAUUUUAAUGUUGGGAAUCCCAGCAUGAACACACUCCACCAUUGAGCUCAAAGUGUAGGCUGGAAACUUGCUUACUUGGGAACUGCCUGCCAUAUAAUUUGGUCUAUUGGUGCCUGGAGAAUAUGAGAUAUUUUGGUUGAAACUACACAAUUUCCUGGCUUCCCAGUGUUUAUUGCCUGAAAUUUAUGAUGGUUCCAAGUUUACUGGUUUGACCAGCACUGGGAAGGCCAUGUGUAUUACCAGUUUAAAGCUGAUCAAAAAGCAGGUUCCCUUUCUGUAGAACAUGAGUGAAUCAUAUUUUUUUCUGAAAUCUAUUAUAUGGUCAUUUAUUUAGAGGCACACCAUAAAUUAAAUAACUUAUUACGUUUUAUUUUCCUGCUGGAUCAUUAGUUCAGUAUCAUUAGCACACAGGAGCUAUAAGGUUUUCAGAAAAUGAGAUAAACAUUGAGUAGUUUGUGAAUGUUAUCAUGUUUUAAUUGAUAAAUUAUAUUAUCGAUAGUUUGGAGAUAAAUGCAUUGAAUACAUUCAAAUCAUGGUCCAUACAAAAGUGGAUCCUCAGCUUGGCAGAGAUGACCUACAGAUUAGUCCUAUUCAUUCUACCUGAAAUUAUCCAUAAUUUCUUAAACAUGGUGCUGUGGAGAGAAAACAGAUUUAAAAAUUCUGAACCCAAUUCCUUUAAACUUAGUUUCAA